UACGUAGGGCGCAAGCGUUGUCCGGAAUCACUGGGCGUAAAGGGCGCGUAGGUGGCGCGACAAGUCGGUGGUGAAAGCUCGACGCUUAACGUCGAGUCGGCCACUGAUACUGUCGGGCUUGAGCACUGUAGAGGCAGGUGGAAUUCCGGGUGUAGCGGUGGAAUGCGUAGAGAUCCGGAAGAACACCGGUGGCGAAGGCGGCCUGCUGGGCAGUUGCUGACACUGAGGCGCGACAGCGUGGGGAGCAAACAGGG
rnacentral:rRNA from 1 species